GCCCGAUUAGCUCAGCUGGUUAGAGCGUCGUACUAAUAUAACCUCCAGUUAUAAGAAGUCAUGCGAAGGUCAACAGUUCAAUCCUGUUAUUGGGCA